CAUACGUUAAUAGCGUAUGGAUUUGACGUUAGCUGCAGAAGAAGCACCGGCUAACUCCGUGCCAGCAGCCGCGGUAAUACGGAGGGUGCGAGCGUUAAUCGGAAUUACUGGGCGUAAAGCGCAUGCAGGUGGUUUGUUAAGUCAGAUGUGAAAGACCCGGGGCGUCAACCUCGGAAUUGCAUUUGUAAACUAGGCAGACUAGAGUACUGUAGAGGGGGGUAGGAAUUUCAGGUGUAGCGGUGAAAUGCGUAGAGAUCUGAAGGAAUACCGGUGGCGAAGGCGGCCCCCUCGGACAGAUACUGACACUCAGAUGCGAAAGCGUGGGGAGCAAACAGGAUUAGAUACCCCUGGUAG
rnacentral:rRNA from 1 species